CGCACAUUGCGCCCAUUAGUAUUCUAUUGGGCAUGCCUGUUCGAGCGUCAUUUCAACCCUUAAGCCUAGCUUAGUGUUGGGAAUCUACUGCCCGGGCGGCGCUACCCUGUAGCGCCUACCCUGUAGUUCCUGAAAACCAACGGCGGAUCUCUGGUGUCCUCUGAGCGUAGUAAUUCUAUCUCGCUUUUGUCAGGCGCCGCAGUUCUUGCCGCUAAACCCCUAUUUUCUAAUGGUUGACCUCGGAUCAGGUAGGAAUACCCGCUGAACUUAA
rnacentral:misc_RNA from 1 species